UACGUAGGGUGCAAGCGUUGUCCGGAAUUAUUGGGCGUAAAGGGCUCGUAGGCGGUCCAUCGCGUCGGGAGUGAAAAGCUGGGGCUUAACCCCAGUCCUGCUUUCGAUACGGGUGGACUAGAGGUAGGCAGGGGAGAAUGGAAUUCCUGGUGUAGCGGUGAAAUGCGCAGAUAUCAGGAGGAACACCGGUGGCGAAGGCGGUUCUCUGGGCCUUACCUGACGCUGAGGAGCGAAAGCAUGGGGAGCAAACAGG
rnacentral:rRNA from 1 species